rnacentral:rRNA from 1 species
UACGUAGGGUGCAAGCGUUGUCCGGAAUUUAUUGGGCGUAAAGAGCUCGUAGGCGGUUUGUCGCGUCUGCUGUGAAAAUCCAGGGCUUAACCCUGGACCUGCAGUGGGUACGGGCAGACUAGAGUGCGGUAGGGGAGAUCGGAAUUCCUGGUGUAGCGGUGAAAUGCGCAGAUAUCAGGAGGAACACCGGUGGCGAAGGCGGAUCUCUGGGCCGUAACUGACGCUGAGGAGCGAAAGCAUGGGGAGCGAACAGG